rnacentral:rRNA from 1 species
AGCGAACGCUGGCGGCAUGCUUAACACAUGCAAGUCGCACGACCGGGUUUCGGCCUGGGAGUGGCGGACGGGUGAGUAUCGCGUAGGGAUUUGUCGUUGGGGUGGGGACGAACCUUGGGAAACGUGGGGCGUAAUACCGCAUGACGCCUGUGGGCCAAAGCUCGAGAGGGCGCCUGACGAGGAGCCUGCGUCCGAUUAGGUAGUUGGUUGGGUGAUGGCUGACCAAGCCUGCGAUCGGUAGCU